rnacentral:rRNA from 1 species
ACCGGGGUGGAAACAUCCCUUCCCGCAAGGGCCGCUAUAUAGGUGCUGCAUGGCUGUCGUCAGCUCGUGUCGUGAGAUGUUGGGUUAGGUCCCGCAACGAGCGCAACCCUUAUUGCCAGUUGCCAUCAUUUAGUUGGGCACUCUGGCGAAACCGCCCCGGUUAACGGGGAGGAAGGUGGGGAUGACGUCAAGUCCUCAUGGUCUUUAUGUCCAGGGCUACACACGUGCUACAAUGGGUGGUACAAACCGUCGCAAACCCGCGAGGGGGAGCUAAUCGGAAAAAGCCAUCCUCAGUUCGGAUUGGAGUCUGCAACUCGACUCCAUGAAGCUGGAAUCGCUAGUAAUCGCGGAUCAGAACGCCGCGGUGAAUACGUUCCCGGGCCUUGUACACACCGCCCGUCACAUCACGAAAGUGGGUUCUACAAGAAGUCGUCGUGCCAACCGCAAGGAGGCAGACGCCCAAGGUAUAAUUUCAUGAGUG